AGAACAUGUACACUAUAUAUAUAUGUUACACUACUGCCUAUUAGUUACAUAGAUCAGACACAAUGUGUAAAAUGUAAAACCAAACUCUCCUUUCUCAUACCUUCAGACUACUGUAAUCUAAAACAUGUGAAACUCCAUGUCCUCUCCUAUGUUUUUCAACUCAUUUUGACACUUGUCGCGUUCCUUAUUUAGUCGGUUGGCAUCAGGGACAACGACAUUUGUCAAGUCAUAGGAUCUAGGCAUUUCUGGAGGUGUUGAGCAUCGAAUUAACGCCCAGUUCAGUCCCUCG
rnacentral:misc_RNA from 1 species